CUGCUUUAUACACAGAGAAAGCAAUGCUCAGCACUUCCAAUAGCAUCGCUGCUGGUGGCUUGGAUCAGAACAGUGUUCAUGGUAAGAAACUGAAGAUGUGCAACCUGGACCUGUACCCCUUCUCCAUGGAGACCUGUCUGAUUGGAGAUGAGAGAAGAAGUUCCACUGCACCGAGAUUAGGCCCAUGCUUAUUCUUGGCAUUUUUAUUCACUUAAAACCAGAUAAAUCCUUUGAGUCCUGACUACUCAAACUGUGGUUGAUGGGCUAGCAGCUUAAGCUCCAUCUGGAGCACUGUAUAAAUGAGAAUUUCAGGACCAGGACCACUCUGCAGAAUCAGGAUCUGCAUUGAACAUGCUGCCCAAACCAUUUGCUACACUUACUAAAGUUUUAGAAGCACUGCUCUAGGACCAUCUUUCUCUAAGUGUAAUCCUAAAACACUCAGAGCUUUUCUUAAAAACCAAAUUUCUAGGCUCACUGCAGGACUGUAUAUGGGUCCCUGGAGGUAAAUUCUAGAAUCUGCAUUUUCAGCAAGUGCCCUUGGUUCCUGUGCGCAUGCAGAUGUAAGAAUCCAGUGCCAGAUGGAAGGAAUCAGUAGAGAUGGCUGUGGGCUGGAAUGGAACAAUGACAUUUAGGAACUGUGCACCAUGUCACAGCCCCUGCUGGAGAUCAAUACAGCAGAUCCAGUUGGUUGUGGAAAACACAGACCUCUCCCCGUGGCAAGAAUCAUAAGGAUGCAAUGACAAGAGACUAUUACAACUAGCUCUCACUGAUGGCCAGGUGAUGAAACCCAGGUUCUGAUAGUGAAAAUCCCAUGCUGGUCAGGUUCUCACAAGAGGCCACGGGAAAGCCAUGUCCAUUUCAGGAAUUCCAGCUCCACUGGGUCCCAGGUCCAUCCAGGCCAAAGAAUGAGACUGUUUGCCACAGAAGAAUCUUGCAAAGUUAAAAUGGUGGCCUCAUUAUCUGCCUUAGUAAUAGUCACCUGCCUCAUCCUGAAAACAAGGUCCUAUGUGCAGAUAGGUGAUUGGGAUCCAUAUCAGGUCCUUUUCCCUCUCCAAAACUACACCAAGAUAAUUCAUCCUGAACACAUUAUGAAGAAGGAAGGAAGGGAGAGUAGAAGAGAAGGCCUGGGUUUGGGGAUCUUCUGUCUUCUGCAACAUUGGUGCUUGUCCUGA
rnacentral:lncRNA from 1 species